GCCGCACCGAGGGCAGCAGGUAGGGAGAGGUGAUCCGUGCUGGGCCCGGCAGGGGAGAGAUGCUGGCGAAGGCAGGCACAGCACAGCACUGCGGGAGGAUGUGGGUCAGAGGACAGCAGCGGGAGGCGAGCCUUUGGCUCAGUGGAAGAAAGAACUGUCAGGCAUUCUGAACAAUCGACAACAAGGAGAGUUCCAACUGAGGCUGGAUGAGCUGUGGUCAGGGGCUGGGCCUGAGGAGGCGACGGAGGAUGCCGGAAAUGGGUAGAAGAUACUAGGUCUCACUUUGUUACCCUGGCUGGUCUUGAAUCCCUGGGCUUAAAAGAUCCUCCUGCCUCAACCUCCGUCAAGUGCUGGGAUUACAGGCAUGAGCCACCAUCCCUGUCCAUGUUAAAGAUUUAGAGGAGCACUGUGACUUGACCAAGAACACAGAAGUUUCACAACCUCCUUGGACCCUCACUGCCACCCAGAUGUCUGUGAUCAUCAGUCAUCUCUUGACCUCAAUUCCCUUCCUCUUCUCCCUUCCCCUAACAUAAAAAGAGUCUAAAAUUUGUAUUAACUUAAGACAGUUCUUUAGGACACGAGUCCACCAUCUUCUCAGUUUGUUGGCUUUCCCAAUAAAAGUUGCUUUCCUUGCCCCAA
rnacentral:lncRNA from 1 species